GAAAUGCGAUAAGUAAUGUGAAUUGCAGAAUUCAGUGAAUCAUCGAAUCUUUGAACGCGCAUUGCGCCCGCCAGUAUUCUGGCGGGCAUGCCUGUUCGAGCGUCAUUUCCACCAUCAGGCCCCCGGGCCUGUGUUGGGGACCUGCGGCUGCCCGCAGGCCCCGAAAUUCAGUGGCGGUCGCGCCGUAGCAACCGAGCGUAGUAACUAAAACGUCUCGCUCUGGCUCGCUGGGCGCGCUCCGGCCGUAAAACACCCCCCCUUUUCGCAAAGGUUGACCUCGGAUCAGGUAGGAAUACCCGCUGAACUUAAGC
rnacentral:misc_RNA from 1 species